CGGGCAGUAGUUCAGUGGUAGAGCUCCCGCUUUGUAUGCGGGAAGACCUGGGUUCGAUUCCCGGCUGGCUUA
rfam:Toxocara canis scaffold3602, whole genome shotgun sequence.